rnacentral:tRNA from 1 species
AAAAAGGUAAGCUAAUCUUUAAGCUUUUAGGUUCAUACCCUAAAUAUAGGUAAUUCUUCUUUUUA